AUGAAAGUUUUAAGCACAAGUACAGACCUUGAAGCUGCUGUUGCUGAUGCUUUGCUGUUAGGAGACUCCAGGAGCAAGAAGAAGCCUGUGAGGAGGAGGUAUGAGCCGUAUGGGAUGUAUUCUGACGAUGACGCCAACCGUGAGGCCUCAAGUGUUUGCUCUGAGCGCUCAUAUGGCUCCAGGAAUGGUGGCAUUCCCCAUUAUCUGCGGCAGACCGAGGAUGCAGCAGAAGUUCUCAACCACUGUGCUAGUUCAAACUGGUCAGAAAGGAAAGAAGGGCUUCUGGGCCUGCAGAACCUACUAAAGAGCCAAAGAACACUGAGUCGAGUUGAACUGAAAAGACUGUGUGAGAUUUUCACCCGGAUGUUUGCCGAUCCUCACAGCAAGAGAGUUUUCAGUAUGUUUUUGGAGACUCUUGUGGAUUUCAUAAUAAUUCAUAAGGAUGACUUGCAAGACUGGCUUUUUGUUCUUCUCACACAAUUACUUAAGAAAUGGGAGCAGAUUUACUUGGAACUGUGCAAGCAAAAGUCCAAAAGGCUCUAGAUGUCACCAGGGACUCCUUUCCAUUUGAUCAACAAUUUAACAUUUUGAUGAGAUUUAUUGUGGAUCAAACUCAAACUCCAAACCUCAAGGUCAGAGUUGCAAUCCUGAAAUAUAUUGAGUCUCUGGCCAGACAGAUGGAUCCAAGGCUUGCUGUUUCUAGAAUCAUAACCUGGAUAACAGAACCAAAGAGUUCAGACAUGAGAAAGGCAGCACAAAUUGUGCUAAUCUCUCUGUUUGAAUUGAAUACUCCUGAAUUUACCAUGUUACUUGGUGCCUUGCCAAAAACAUUCCAGGAUGGUGCCACCAAACUCCUGCAUAACCACCACAAGAAUUCCAGUAACACCAGUGUGGGCUCUCCAAGCAAUACGAUUGGCCGAACACCCUCCCGACACACCAGCAGCAGGACCAGCCCCCUGAUCUCACCUACCAACUGUUCCCAUGGGGGUCUGUCUCCAAGCAUGCUGGACUAUGAUACAGAGAACCUGAACUCUGAAGAAAUCUAUAGUUCUCUAUGUGGAGUUACAGAAGCCAUUGAAAAGUUUAGUUUUCGAAGCCCAGAAGAUCUGAAUGAACCAAUUAAACGAGAUGGCAAAAAGGAGUGUGAUAUUGUGUCCCGCAAUGGGGGCACUGCCUCUCUUGCCACCGAGGGCCGUGGGGGCAGCGAGGUAGAAGGAGGCCGGAAAGCUCUGGAUAACAAGACCUCGCUACUCAACACCCAGCCUCUGCGUGCCUUCCCGGGGCUGCAGGCGUGAGAGUACAACCCGUACCCUUACUCAGAUGCCAUCAACACCUACGACAAGACUGUCCUGAAGGAGGCUGUGUUUGAUGACGACAUGGAGCACCAUUCUGACCUGGUGGCUGACCUUCUGAAAGAGCUGUCCAACCACAACGAGUGGGUGGAGGAACGGAAAGGAGCCCUGCUGGAGCUGCUCAAAAUCACAUGGGAAGACAGCCUUGGCGUCUGGGAGGAGCACUUCAAGACCAUUCUGCUCCUGCUGCUGGAGACCCUUGGAGACAAAGACCUUUCAAUUUGAGCACUGGCAUUGAGAGUUUUGAGGGAAAUUCUGAGAAAUCAACCAGCAAGAUUUAAAAACUACGCUGAGCUGACGAUUAUGAAGACUCUGGAAGCCCACAAAGACUCCCAUAAGAAGGUGGUGAGAGCGGCUGAGGAGGCUGCGUCCACACUAGCCAGUUCCAUCCACCCAGAGCAGUGCAUCAAGGUGCUCUGACCCAUCAUCCAGACGGCCGACUAUCCCAUCAACCUUGCUGCCAUCAAGAUGCAGACCAAAGUCGUCGAGAGGAUCGCCAAGGAGUCGUUGCUGCAGCUCCUCGCUGACAUCAUCCAAGGCUUGCUGAAGGGUUAUGACAACACUGAAAGUAGUGUGCAUAAGGCCAGUGUGCUUUGCUUAGUGGCAAUUCAUUCCGUAAUCAGAGAAGACCUGAAACCUCACCUCGCACAGCUCACAGGGAGCAAGAUGAAGCUACUAAACUUAUAUAUAUAAAGAGGGCCCAGACCACCAACAGCAACAGCAGCUCCUCCUCCGAUGUCUCCACGCACAGCUAA